rnacentral:rRNA from 1 species
UACGGAGGAUGCGAGCGUUAUCCGGAUUUAUUGGGUUUAAAGGGUGCGUAGGCGGGCUUUUAAGUCAGCGGUAAAAAUUCGGGGCUCAACCCCGUCCGGCCGUUGAAACUGGGGGUCUUGAGUGGGCGAGAAGAAGGCGGAAUGCGUGGUGUAGCGGUGAAAUGCAUAGAUAUCACGCAGAACCCCGAUUGCGAAGGCAGCCUUCCGGCGCCCUACUGACGCUGAGGCACGAAAGUGCGGAGAUCGAACAGG